AUUGAACGCUGGCGGCAGGCCUAACACAUGCAAGUCGAACGAGUGGCGGACGGGUGAGUAAGGUCUGGGAAACUGCCUGAUGGAGGGGGAUAACUACUGGAAACGGUAGCUAAUACCGCAUACCAUCGGAUGUGCCCAGAUGGGAUUAGCUAGUAGGUGGGGUAACGGCUCACCUAGGCGACGAUCCCUAGCUGGUCUGGGAGGAUGACCUGGCACACAGGAACUGAGACACGGUCCAGAAUCCGACGGUAGGCACCAGUGGGGAAUAUUGCACAAUGGGAGCAAGCCUAAUACCGCCAUGCCGCGUGUAUGAAGAAGGCCUUCGGGUUGUAAAGUACUUUCAGCGGGGAGGCGUUACCCGCAGAGGAAGCACCGGCUAACUCCGUGCCAGCAGCCGCGGUAAUAC
rnacentral:rRNA from 1 species